UACGGAGGGGGCUAGCGUUGUUCGGAAUUACUGGGCGUAAAGCGCACGUAGGCGGCUUUGUAAGUUAGAGGUGAAAGCCCGGGGCUCAACUCCGGAAUUGCCUUUAAGACUGCAUCGCUAGAAUUGUGGAGAGGUAAGUGGAAUUCCGAGUGUAGAGGUGAAAUUCGUAGAUAUUGGGAAGAACACCGGUGGCGAAGGCGGCUCACUGGCUCAUAUCGGACGCUCAGGCGCGACAGCGUGGGGAUCAAACAGG
rnacentral:rRNA from 1 species